rnacentral:rRNA from 1 species
UACGUAGGCAGCAAGCGUUGUUCGGAAUCACUGGGCGUAAAGCGCACGUAGGCGGACUCUUAAGUCGGUGGUGAAAUCCUGGAGCUCAACUCCAGAACUGCCUUCGAUACUGAGAGUCUUGAGUCCGGGAGAGGUGAGUGGAACUGCGAGUGUAGAGGUGAAAUUCGUAGAUAUUCGCAAGAACACCAGUGGCGAAGGCGGCUCACUGGCCCGGUACUGACGCUGAGGUGCGAAAGCGUGGGGAGCAAACAGG